UAAAAGUAAUUUAGGCAGCUAUGUAUAGUCGUAAAAGUAUUUUAGACACUAACGUGUUUAUGCAUAGAUAAAAAAAAGUAUAAUAAUGGGUCGCACAUUACGGUGUAAAGUUGUAAAAGUAAUUUAAAUAUAAAGAGGUGUCAAGUUAUAAAGUAGAAAAGAUUGGCGGGUCACAGUUGUCAAUUUACCAAAAGAUAGAAGUAAAUGUGUAACUUACUUAAAAAUGAGGGUUAAUACUGUUUGAUGUCAAAAAGUUGAGGGCGUGAAUUGAAAAAAACAAAGGUCACCGUCCUUCGUUUAUAAGAGUUAUAUAAUGUGACUGGUUACUAAACAAGCAAUUCCUCACCAACGGAUGUAAAAGUGUAAAACACUUACUUGUUACCAUGCACAGACAAUCCAACCUGUCUCAGGAAAAAAAGACAUUAUGCCUGCGAAACUGCUCAUAUACUGUAGGUUCACUAAGUACAGUUGAAGAAGACAGAUCCAAGUACGAAACAACGCCAAUCAAGCACUUCCUGGAAUGAGAAAACCUGUCUCUGAAAACAACCUGACCAAGGGCACACUUGUUCCAUGCUUCAAAAGAGAUUAACACCUUUCCAAGCUGGCAACAUAAAAUUGAACGUAUAUUAGUAUCAUAGUAUAACAGCUCUAUGGACACACCAACACAGCAAAGAACAAAUCAUGAUGCACUGGCUUGUCUAGAUUUCACGUAUAUAUUUGGUAUUUAUAUUAUCUGUAUUGUUUCAAUAUGA
rnacentral:lncRNA from 1 species